GAUGAACGCUGGCGGCGUGCCUAAUACAUGCAAGUCGAGCGAACGGACGAGAAGCUUGCUUCUCUGAUGUUAGCGGCGGACGGGUGAGUAACACGUGGAUAACCUACCUAUAAGACUGGGAUAACUUCGGGAAACCGGAGCUAAUACCGGAUGAUAUUUUGAACCUCAUGGUUCAAAAGUGAAAGACGGUCUUGCUGUCACUUAUAGAUGGAUCCGCGCUGCAUUAUCUAGUUGGUAAGGUAACGGCUUACCAAGGCAACGAUGCAUAGCCGAACUGAGAGGGGGAUAGGCCAAACUGGAACUGAGACACGGUCCAGACACCUACGGGAGGCAGCAGUAGGGAAUCUUCCGCAAUGGGCGAAAGCAUGACGGAGCAACGCCGCGUGAGUGAUGAAGGUCUUCGGAUCGUAAAACUCUGUUAUUAGGGAAGAACAUAUGUGUAAGUAACUGUGCACAUCUUGACGGUAACUAAUCAGAAAGCCACGGCUAACUACGUG
rnacentral:rRNA from 1 species